rnacentral:sRNA from 1 species
GGAAGGAUGAGAAGCUUCGACUAAGGUUCGGCUCGAGCGUCAGCGAGAGAGCGUUGCCGCAGGCAACGACCCGAAGGGCGAAGCGCGCAGCGCUGAGUAAUCCUUCCCCCACCACCA